GUUUGAGUGGUGGGGCAUCAAAAAGGGAGUAUUUAUUUUAUUGCAUAAUUCGUGUGGGUGGUAGAGUUGGAUUGAAAUACUGCUAAAUGGAGUUUGAACUGGUCAUAGAGAGAAUUGAGGAGGGAUAUUUGGAGAGAUUUGAGGAGAGGAUAUUGGGAUUUGGGGAGGUUGUUGUUGUGGAGAGAUAAUAGUAGAAAAUUAAGGGAUAGGAAGUGGAUGAAGAGUGUGUAGCCGAAUUGGAGGAGGGAUUUUUGAGAUUUGGGGUUGUUACCAAUUUGGUGAGAGUUAGAAUUCGAGUUUCAUUCCUUUUCUUUCAACCUUGGCCAAAUAUAGCUUCUCUCCUUCCUCACCAUUUUUCUUUUUGGUUUUC
rnacentral:lncRNA from 1 species